GCCCGGGCGGCUCAGUGGUUGAGCGUCAACCUAUGAACCAGGAGGUCAGGGUUCGACUCCCAGUCAGGGCA
rnacentral:tRNA from 1 species